rnacentral:rRNA from 1 species
UACGUAGGGGGCAAGCGUUGUCCGGAUUUAUUGGGCGUAAAGAGCGUGUAGGCGGCCAUACAGGUCAGCUGUGAAAACUCGAGGCUCAACCUCGAGACGUCGGUUGAAACCGUAUGGCUAGAGUCCGGAAGAGGAGAGUGGAAUUCCCGGUGUAGCGGUGAAAUGCGCAGAUAUCGGGAAGAACACCCGUGGCGAAGGCGGCGCUCUGGGCAAUUUCUGACGCUGAGGCACGAAGGCUAGGGGAGCAAACGGG